rnacentral:rRNA from 1 species
UACGGAGGAUGCGAGCGUUAUCCGGAUUUAUUGGGUUUAAAGGGUGCGUAGGCGGUAUGUCAAGUCUGAUGUUAAAGCCCGGGGCUCAACUCCGGUUCGGCAUUGGAUACUGGCAAACUAGAAUGUGGUAGAGGUAAAGGGAAUUCCUGGUGUAGCGGUGAAAUGCGUAGAUAUCAGGAGGAACAUCGGUGGCGAAAGCGCUUUACUGGACCAUUAUUGACGCUGAGGAACGAAAGCCAGGGGAGCAAAUGGG